GAACGCGAAGAACCUUACCCACCUUUGACAUGGCAGGAAGUUUCCAGAGAUGGAUUCGUGCCCGAAAGGGAACCUGCACACAGGUGCUGCAUGGCUGUCGUCAGCUCGUGUCGUGAGAUGUUGGGUUAAGUCCCGCAACGAGCGCAACCCUUGCCAUUAGUUGCUACGAAAGGGCACUCUAAUGGGACUGCCGGUGACAAACCGGAGGAAGGUGGGGAUGACGUCAAGUCCUCAUGGCCCUUAUAGGUGGGGCUACACACGUCAUACAAUGGCUGGUACAGAGGGUUGCCAACCCGCGAGGGGGAGCUAAUCCCAUAAAGCCAGUCGUAGUCCGGAUCGCAGUCUGCAACUCGACUGCGUGAAGUCGGAAUCGCUAGUAAUCGCGGAUCAGAAUGUCGCGGCGAAUACGUUCCCGGGUCUUGUACACACC
rnacentral:rRNA from 1 species